CACUCGUUCUGCUACUCUGCUCCUUGUAUUCACUUCUGUUGUGCUGACUUGGGAAUGGGUUGGAUUGUCUAGUGAACAGAGCUGGGGAAACUGCUCAGAGGUGCCCAGUGAACCUUCAACAGAAGAAAAUGUUUAAAGCCCUGAUCCAUCAUUUGGAACUACUGGGAUGAGUGAAGAGUGUAGAACCCAGCCAUCAAAGAAAAAGAGCACCAGAUUCAUCCUGGCUUGUCCCCAUAAAAUGUGCCUCUGUGUGCAGUCAAAGGGAAGUGAUCUGCAACUAAUUCCUUGGGAGAAAAGUUCAUGGGCCUGCAUAGCCUAGGUUCAAACUUGGAUUUAUUUGUAACAUAAUAAUCUAGAACUAACUAUA